GAAAUGCGAUACGUAGUGUGAAUUGCAGAAUUCCGCGAAUCAUCGAGUCUUUGAACGCAAGUUGCGCCCGAGGCUUGACCAAGGGCAUCUCUGCCAGAGCGUCACCGCGACACCCACCAAACCUCAAUAAUGGGGUUUGAGUGAAAGUGGCCAUCCGAAUGGGGCCGCCCCUCCCUUGGGGGGCGCGGCAGAUUGGGUUGGCUGAAAUGGAGGGAAUUUGGCCGCCGUGGUAGUACAGCCCGCGAUCAGGUGAUCCAGGUGUUAAAAAACCUGGAACUCAAACGUGCGCUGGCUGUGGCACCCAGUUGGCCGGACUCCAAAGCAGGUCCCUACCGACACUCCGGCCGCAAAAGCCGGGAGGUGGAGGGAAGGAAAACGUCACGCAUCAGACCUCUGAUCA
rnacentral:misc_RNA from 1 species